CUCCACCCGCCGGCUCUCGGUUCUGCUGCACUUUGAGGUGGCGGGCCGAACGGUAGCCUCUCCCUCCUCGCCCCGCGAGCGACCCGGGCAGUCACGGCACCCGGCGCGCACGGGCCCUUUAAGAGCUACACCAGCCGAGCUGCAGUUUGACAUCAGCCGGCCGGCGAGGGCGCGCCUGGAGCCGGAGCACGUGCCAGGAUGUUUUAUUGCCGCCGCGGCUGCGGCCGGGCUGGGAGGAUGUGUGUGUGUGCAUGCGUGUGUGAGUGUGUGUGCGCGCGCCCCGGGGGCAGGGAGGCGGGGAGCGGCGGCGGGCGGCGGAGCGCGGGGGCUGGUUCCUGGUCCCCGGGAGAAGCCAAGAAGAUCUCGUCCCGGAUGAGAUGCAGCGGUUCCUGACUCUGGGUGACCUUGGGCGAGCCCCUCUCUUCCUUUCAUUAUGGAACACACGCUCUGUGCCAGACACUGUGUUAAACCCUUGGAUUACCACGAUGAGAGAUACAGUGGCAGCCUGCAUGGGGUUUUACAGGUCAACUCUGGAGGCAGACAGACUCGAGUUUCUGAUUGAUGACCAGGCGUUCCUCUGUUACGCCGUUCCCUUAGGGUUUGGGUGAUGGCCGGAGAGAUCAGGAGAACCUAAAAGAAAUGCUGAACCACACCUGUGUGGGCAACACUGUUGCUGGUCUCUGUGGGGGAUACAGGGAUGGAUACAUAGUUAUUGCCUUCAGGAAGCCUA